rnacentral:rRNA from 1 species
CAGUAGCCGCGGUAAGACGGAGGGUGCUAGCGUUGUUCGGAAUCACUGGGCGUAAAGGGCGCGUAGGCGGCCUGUUAAGUCGGAUGUGAAAGCCCGGGGCUCAACCCCGGAACUGCAUCCGAGACUGGCAGGCUUGAGACCGGGAGAGGAGGGUGGAAUAUCCAGUGUAGAGGUGAAAUUCGUAGAUAUUGGAUGGAACACCGGUGGCGAAAGCGGCUCUCUGGGCCGUAACUGACGCUGAGGAGCGAAAGCGUGGGGAGCAAACAGGAUUAGAUACCCCCGUAGUCCCUGUCUCUUAUAC